rnacentral:rRNA from 1 species
GUGGGGAAUAUUGGACAAUGGGCGAAAGCCUGAUCCAGCCAUGCCGCGUGUGUGAAGAAGGUCUUCGGAUUGUAAAGCACUUUAAGUUGGGAGGAAGGGCAGUAAGUUAAUACCUUGCUGUUUUGACGUUACCGACAGAAUAAGCACCGGCUAACUUCGUGCCAGCAGCCGCGGUAAUACGAAGGGUGCAAGCGUUAAUCGGAAUUACUGGGCGUAAAGCGCGCGUAGGUGGUUGUGUAAGUUGGAGGUGAAAUCCCCGGGCUCAACCUGGGAACUGCCUCCAAAACUGCAUGACUAGAGUACGGUAGAGGGUAGUGGAAUUUCCUGUGUAGCGGUGAAAUGCGUAGAUAUAGGAAGGAACACCAGUGGCGAAGGCGACUACCUGGACUGAUACUGACACUGAGGUGCGAAAGCGUGGGGAGCAAACAGGAUUAGAAACCCUGGUAGUCC